CCUAGCUCAGAUCCCCCAUCGCACCCCUCCUCCCUCGUCCCCAUCUCCUCGCCGCCGCUGCCACAUCCUCCCCGUCCCCUGCACCACUCCUCGUCGCCAACCUCGCCGCCGCCACCUCCUCCCCGUCCCUUGCACCACUCCCUGAUCCCUCCUCCGGCACCAUCCCCGGCCAUCCCCACUUCCACCACCCCUCCGUCCCAGUCGCUGCUCUCUCUCGGUUAAGUGAGAUGGGAUCCACUCCCGCAGCCGCCGCUCCACCCUCAUCGUCGACGACCCAUGCCGCCGCCGCACACCACCGGGCCCUCCCAUCACCCUGGCCCCAUGUUGGGUAGUGCGAGGCGGUGCUUCCAGACCACGAUGGCCGCAGCCUUGCCCACUCCAAUCUGGAUCCAUGGUGCACUCCUUCCUCCCUCUGGAUCCAGCGCCUGCUGGUGACGAGGGCCGCCAGAUCCGCGACCUGGGAGGCUCCUCCUGUAGGAUACGGGAGCAGCACGCCGCACCCUGCAGUCGCUGACCUGGUGCACUCCUUCUAAUCUCCAUAGCCACUUUUUUGCCUCGGCUGCUUGCUCUGCUCUCUGCGUGAUGGAGCUAGGCCUCACGCUCCAGCUAGCCGCGCCGCCGGCGCGCCUCCCCCACGGGUAUAUUGCAUCGCCGUGCCCGCCAGUAAUGAGCGGAGUCCGGGCGGGGAGGCGCGAGAGUAGGAGGGCUGGGGCUGUGUCGACGAGUGGGGGUGUGAGCUACGCGGUGGUUGAAGAUGGGAAGGUGAACGAGGGGGAGGAGAUGUCGAGGCCGCGGCUGGAGUUCAUCGAGAAGUUAGAUCGGUACCUGGCGCUGCUGGACGAGUACGAGUCGGAGGAGCUGGGGGCGGCGCUCUGCGCCAACCACCGCAGUGCUGAGCCUUCUUCUUCUUCUUUGUGGUUUGCUUUGUUUGUAGUUAUGUUGCUGUGUUGGGGAAGCCAAAUGUCGGCAAGAGCACCCUGAUAAACCAAAUCGUUGGUCAGUAGCUUUCGAUCGUAACCGAUAAACCACAAACCACACGCCACCACAUCCUCGGUAUAUGUUCUGAACCAGAAUACCAGGUACAACCUUCUUGUCUCCAAAGCACCAGGUUGAUCUUGAUUGCUAGCAUGGGAGAUGUAUCUUCUUUUGCAUAUCAAUUACAUAGCAGUACUAUGUAACAAUCUAUGUUGUUAUUUUUAGGUUAGGUUGAAGUGAUUGGUAGGCCUUCGUUAGCAAGCGAGCUUUAAAUUUCCAUUGUUAUUUGCACUAUAUUCCACGCACGCCUCAUUUGAAUUUGUGAUCGUAUCCAUAGACCAGUGAAUUUAUUGCACUAUUUGCUUGCUGUGAAGUAUCCAGUAUUUGUUACAUUAUGUCUUUAAGUAGUAAAAUUGAGAACGGCAAGCUAAAUUCUUCAACUGAACUGCUCUUUCAUUGUACCACGAAAUCGGAAAUACUGAAGUUUUGCUAUGUAUAACAUUGGUGCAUGUGCAGGCCCGGCUUGUGGGGAUGGUCAGUGGCAAGGCAGAGCGGAACACGGACGUGUCCUUCGCGCUCGACGACGGCACCGGCCGUAUCGACAUCAUCAGAUGGCUGACAUGGAAAAAGUUAUGGAACAAGAGGUACCAGAAGGUGGAGAACCAAAGAAUGUUGCUGCUGUUGUUGCUGACAUUCUCACUAAAGAAUGUCCCUCCAACACAUUCCUUCAAAAUGUUGGCCUUGAGUCGAGCUCCAAGAUGAAGUUCAAUAGAUCUGCAGUUACUUUGGAUGCUCAUGUACAAGAACUAGAGUAAAAGCUUGAGAAGGAGAGGCGAGCCGCUGAGUUGAUGCAAGAGGAGCUUGUUGAGGUCAAGAAGAAAUCAGAGGAGACCGAAGCUGUACGCGCCGCAGAGUAUCAGUUGUUACUGCAAAGAGUUGAGGCCACCGAUGCUAGGGCUGCAGCAAGUGAUUCUAGAUUUGCGCGUCUCAUGGAUCUGUUCGAAGGUAAAUUAGUUACUACAACGUGGUUGAUGUUGGCUUUGGGACUUUUGAUGCUGAGUUGUUUGGACCUGGGGUUGAUGAGUUUCUUUGGGUGUGUUACUGGCUAUGUUAUUUUGGUUGGUGCAUCUUAUGAACUUGUGGUGUAAUGAUACUGCUGGGCCUAAGUUAAUGAAAUCUUGGAGAAUUGUAUUAUUAUUAUCAUUUUA